rnacentral:lncRNA from 14 species
CUGUGCCUGUCCUCUUGACUCUGUGUGCUGGCAUCCAGGCUUCAGAUGAAUUUCAUGGUCUGUAAUCAUCCCGGGAGAAUUUCCCUCUUGUUCAUCCUACGGAAGAGAAACUCUCCCAUUUCCACUCGGAUCUUACAAUAGCUUGUCAGUGACAAAACAUUCCCAAAUCCUCUCAUUUAUCAAAUGGCCAAUCCUGUUAACAGCUUAAGAAACAUAAUUACCUGCAAUCUCUUCUGCUAUUCAUUUUAUGCCUACACUUCCCUCUCUCUGGCAGCUUCCCAGCAGGCAAGUCAAAAGCUGAAGCAUGGCUGCAGCUACCAAGUGCUUGAGCAAUGCAAUUUCCUCUAAUCACCUGCACAAUGAUGGCAGGAGUUUUGCCUCCCUGUUUGUAGCAGCAAGGAGCAGGUGAGGAAGGCAGGCACAGGGCCAAAAGCAUCAGCUGACAGUGGUGGGGAAGUUUCCAAGCAUGGCUACAAUUUCAGUGCUGUAUGGUGGGAACAUCAUUGAUUAGGAUCUACUUUUAGGGCACAAGAAAUCAUGGCCACACUUACUCACCUGGGAGAUCCAUGGGCACAAGUGGGCUCUGAGAGAAGCAACCAGAGAGGCUGUUGCAGGUUUGGGUGCUGGAAAUGGCUGUAGGAGCUUUGUCAGCAAGAAAGCAGAGCCUGAAGUAUCAGUGAGCUGGUGAACUAAUGGGGAAAUUGGGAUCAGCUGGAGACAGUGUGAGCUCCUGAUUAUUGCAUUGCUAAAAGAGACUGAUUUUGUCUUAUUUCAGUGUGUCUACAGCUUGUGAGAGACUUUGGUUCAACUUUCAGGGAGGAUUUAGAAGAGCAGUGCUUGCAGGCUGGAGAUCUGCUGGCUUCCUAAAUGUUGGGUCCAAACUCCAGAGAGGUGUCUGAAGUACAACUCUGGUGGGAUGUGGAGCCCAAAACCGAGUUCUGUAACCCACAGAAACAUCUACUGGCCUGGAUGCUGAAGGUCCCCAUGCUCAUGGUUCAACCCAGAAAUGAUCGGGAGCCCACGCAAAGCCUGGUGCCAGAACUAAAGUGGUGGGCCACUGACUUUUUCCCACUUGUCUGUUCGUUUCCCAUAUCUCCUGGCUGCCACAUGCACACAAAAUCACUCCCAACCUGCUGGAAAAGGAAGCAGUAGAAUGGUGGAGACCAUCGGAGCGAUGCCAGAGGGUUAGCAUCCGCUGUGUCUGGUGCUCCUGCGGCUCAGGCAUCUCCUGGAGGUACAGCUUUAAUACACAUGUUUAUGCAUUUUUAUGUGAG